rnacentral:rRNA from 1 species
UGAGACCGGCGCACGGGUGCGUAACGCGUAUGCAAUCUACCUUGUACAGGGGGAUAGCCCAGAGAAAUUUGGAUUAAUACCCCAUAGUAUUAUUGAAUGGCAUCAUUUGAUUAUUAAAGUUCCAACGGUACAAGAUGAGCAUGCGUCCCAUUAGCUAGUUGGUGUGGUAACGGCACACCAAGGCGACGAUGGGUAGGGGUCCUGAGAGGGAGAUCCCCCACACUGGUACUGAGACACGGACCAGACUCCUACGGGAGGCAGCAGUGAGGAAUAUUGGUCAAUGGGCGCAAGCCUGAACCAGCCAUGCCGCGUGCAGGAUGACGGUCCUAUGGAUUGUAAACUGCUUUUGUACAGGAAGAAACACUCCCUCGUGAGGGAGCUUGACGGUACUGUAAGAAUAAGGAUCGGCUAACUCCGUGCCAGCAGCCGCGGUAAUACGGAGGAUCCAAGCGUUAUCCGGAAUCAUUGGGUUUAAAGGGUCCGUAGGCGGUUUUAUAAGUCAGUGGUGAAAUCUGGUCGCUCAACGAUCAAACGGCCAUUGAUACUGUAGAACUUGAAUUACUUGGAAGUAACUAGAAUAUGUAGUGUAGCGGUGAAAUGCUUAGAGAUUACAUGGAAUACCAAUUGCGAAGGCAGGUUACUACGAGUUAAUUGACGCUGAUGGACGAAAGCGUGGGGAGCGAACAGGAUUAGAUACCCUGGUAGUCCACGCCGUAAACGAUGGAUACUAGCUGUUUGGAGCAAUCUGAGUGGCUA